AGGAUAAGGAUGCCCAUACGACCCUGAAAGUGGCUAGGUUCCUGGUCGCUGUCCUUACCCAAAAGCGUCGCCAAGGAGCACCACAAGCUAAUUAAGGCGUAGUAUGCCAUUCCAUCUUAUAGUAGCUUAUUGUUAUAGUAGUGUUUUAGCGGCUGUUUUUUUCCCAUGUGCACAGGCUGUUAUUUAUGUCUUGUUUUUAUCUGUAUGGGCCUACGGCCGUAAUAAAUUAUUAUUAUUAUUAU